rnacentral:rRNA from 1 species
CGUGGGAAAUCUGCCGAGUAGCGGGGGACAACGUUUGGAAACGAACGCUAGUACCGCAUAACAAUGAGAAUCGCAUGAUUCUGAUUUAAAAGAAGCAACUGCUUCACUACUUGAUGAUCCCGCGUUGUAUUAGCUAGUUGGUAGUGUAAAGGACUACCAAGGCGAUGAUACAUAGCCGGCCUGAGAGGGUGAACGGCCACACUGGGACUGAGACGCGGCCCAGACUCCUACGGGAGGCAGCAGUAGGGAAUCUUCGGCAAUGGGGACAACCCUGACCGAGCAACGCCGCGUGAGUGAAGAAGGUUUUCGGAUCGUAAAACUCUGUUGUUAGAGAAGAACGUUAAGUAGAGUGGAAAGUUACUUAAGUGACGGUAUCUAACCAGAAAGGGACGGCUAACUACGUGCCAGCAGCCGCGGUAAUACGUAGGUCCCGAGCGUUGUCCGGAUUUAUUGGGCGUAAAGCGAGCGCAGGUGGUUCCUUAAGUCUGAUGUAAAAGGCAGUGGCUCAACCAUUGUGUGCAUUGGAAACUGGGGAACUUGAGUGCAGGAGAGGGGAGUGGAAUUCCAUGUG